AUUGAACGCUGGCGGCAGGCCUAACACAUGCAAGUCGAGCGAGCGGCGGACGGGUGAGUAAUGUAUGGGGAACUGCCCGAUAGAGGGGGAUAACUACUGGAAACGGUGGCUAAUACCGCAUACUAUCGGAUGAACCCAAAGGGGUUUAGCUAGUAGGUGGGGUAAAGGCUCACCUAGGCGACGAUCACUAGCUGGUCUGAGAGGAUGAUCAGCCACACUUGGACUGAGACACGGCCCAGACUCCUACGGGAGGCAGAAGUGGGGAAUAGUGCACAAUGGGAGCAAGCCUGAUGCAGCCAGGCCGCGUGUAUGAAGAAGGCCUUCGGGUUGUAAAGUACUUUCAGCGGGGAGGCGUUACCCGCAGAAGAAGCACCGGCUAACUCCGUGCCAGCAGCCGCGGUAAUAC
rnacentral:rRNA from 1 species